rnacentral:rRNA from 1 species
UGCAAGUCGAACGAACUCUGGUAUUGAUUGGUGCUUGCAUCAUGAUUUACAUUUGAGUGAGUGGCGAACUGGUGAGUAACACGUGGGAAACCUGCCCAGAAGCGGGGGAUAACACCUGGAAACAGAUGCUAAUACCGCAUAACAACUUGGACCGCAUGGUCCGAGUUUGAAAGAUGGCUUCGGCUAUCACUUUUGGAUGGUCCCGCGGCGUAUUAGCUAGAUGGUGGGGUAACGGCUCACCAUGGCAAUGAUACGUAGCCGACCUGAGAGGGUAAUCGGCCACAUUGGGACUGAGACACGGCCCAAACUCCUACGGGAGGCAGCAGUAGGGAAUCUUCCACAAUGGACGAAAGUCUGAUGGAGCAACGCCGCGUGAGUGAAGAAGGGUUUCGGCUCGUAAAACUCUGUUGUUAAAGAAGAACAUAUCUGAGAGUAACUGUUCAGGUAUUGACGGUAUUUAACCAGAAAGCCACGGCUAACUACGUGCCAGCAGCCGCGGUAAUACGUAGGUGGCAAGCGUUGUCCGGAUUUAUUGGGCGUAAAGCGAGCGCAGGCGGUUUUUUAAGUCUGAUGUGAAAGCCUUCGGCUCAACCGAAGAAGUGCAUCGGAAACUGGGAAACUUGAGUGCAGAAGAGGACAGUGGAACUCCAUGUGUAGCGGUGAAAUGCGUAGAUAUAUGGAAGAACACCAGUGGCGAAGGCGGCUGUCUGGUCUGUAACUGACGCUGAGGCUCGAAAGUAUGGGUAGCAAACAGGAUUAGAUACCCUGGUAGUCCAUACCGUAAACGAUGAAUGCUAAGUGUUGGAGGGUUUCCGCCCUUCAGUGCUGCAGCUAACGCAUUAAGCAUUCCGCCUGGGGAGUACGGCCGCAAGGCUGAAACUCAAAGGAAUUGACGGGGGCCCGCACAAGCGGUGGAGCAUGUGGUUUAAUUCGAAGCUACGCGAAGAACCUUACCAGGUCUUGACAUACUAUGCAAAUCUAAAAGAUUAGACGUUCCCUUCGGGGACAUGGAUACAGGUGGUGCAUGGUUGUCGUCAGCUCGUGUCGUGAGAUGUUGGGUUAAGUCCCGCAACGAGCGCAACCCUUAUUAUCAGUUGCCAGCAUUAAGUUGGGCACUCUGGUGAGACUGCCGGUGACAAACCGGAGGAAGGUGGGGAUGACGUCAAAUCAUCAUGCCCCUUAUGACCUGGGCUACACACGUGCUACAAUGGAUGGUACAACGAGUUGCGAACUCGCGAGAGUAAGCUAAUCUCUUAAAGCCAUUCUCAGUUCGGAUUGUAGGCUGCAACUCGCCUACAUGAAGUCGGAAUCGCUAGUAAUCGCGGAUCAGCAUGCCGCGGUGAAUACGUUCCCGGGCCUUGUACACACCGCCCGUCACACCAUGAGAGUUUGUAACACCCAAAGUCGGUGGGGUAACUUUUAGGAACCA